GCACUGCUGAAGAGCCUCACAAUAGGGCGAAACGGUGGUCCAGUGC
rnacentral:hammerhead_ribozyme from 1 species